UGGUGGAACAGGGAACAGGAAGUGAUCGAGGAUACUGACAUUACUGACGUAUGCAAUGUGUGCGACGAUGAAUUUCUGCAGAGGCUUUGAAUGCUUGUGGAAUGUGCAUGAAGUACUACAAAAUGCGGAAGGAAAAAUUAAGUUCUCCAAAGACGACUGCAGCUUUUUGGAUACUUUGAGAUUACCUGUGCAAGUAGAGCUUGUUGCAACAUUUAAAGAAACGAUUGUAUUCCAGUCAUUCGACAGUAACUUCAUAUAAUUUAUAGUUUAUGAUGCAAACAUUCUUAAGGUAAAAUUGUGGAAUGUGUAACCUGACUGAGAAUUGUGGAUGAUGCAAGAGACUCCAUCGAUACUAAGAAGUUGCCUUAUUACUUGGCAGGACCUCUAUACUGUGAGGGAUUUUGUCAUCAGUGAUAGUCAGCACCUGACAAUGAAGUGUUCACUGUGUGUAUUGGCUCUGAUCACAGAUACUGUAAGAAUUAACAUGACGUGCUGUUGACUCACAUCAUGGUUUUGUAGAAUAAUUGGGUAAAGUUGCCAUAUAAAAUGAGUAAUGCAUUAGGUUUGUAUGGUGAUACGGAUGUUUACGUGUUAUUAAUAAAGAGAGCAAACGACUUGUG